rnacentral:rRNA from 1 species
GACGAACGCUGGCGGCGUGCUUAACACAUGCAAGUCGAACGGUAAGGCCCUUCGGGGUACACGAGUGGCGAACGGGUGAGUAACACGCGGGUGAUCUGCCCUGCACUUCGGGAUAAGCCUGGGAAACUGGGUCUAAUACCGGAUAGGACCACUGCCUGCAUGGGUGGUGGUGGAAAGCUUUUGCGGUGUGGGAUGGGCCCGCGGCCUAUCAGCUUGUUGGUGGGGUGAUGGCCUACCAAGGCGACGACGGGUAGCCGGCCUGAGAGGGUGACCGGCCACACUGGGACUGAGAUACGGCCCAGACUCCUACGGGAGGCAGCAGUGGGGAAUAUCGCACAAUGGGCGCAAGCCUGAUGCAGCGACGCCGCGUGAGGGAUGACGGCCUUCGGGUUGUAAACCUCUUUCAGCACCGACGAAGCGCAAGUGACGGUAGGUGCAGAAGAAGGACCGGCCAACUACGUGCCAGCAGCCGCCGUAA